rnacentral:rRNA from 1 species
GUCUUUUAGAUAAUUAUUUAAGGUCUGGCCUGCUCCAUGAUUAAUUAAAUAGCCGCAGUAUUUUGACUGUGCAAAGGUAGCAUAAUCAUUAGUUUUUUAAUUGAAAGCUGGAAUGAAUGGUUGGAUGAGAAAGUAACUGUCUCUCUUUAAUUUUAUUUGAACUUUAUUUUUAAGUCAAAAAGCUUAAAUUUGAUAAAAAGACGAGAAGACCCUUUAGAGUUUAACAAAUUAUGAAUUUAAUUUUUAAUGGGUUUUAAAGUGAUUAUUUUAAAAUUUGUUUGGUUGGGGUGACAUGAGAACUGAGUUAACUUCUUAGUAUUUUUACACUGGUUAGUGAUUAGAUGAUCCUAAUGUUUGGAUUUAAAGAAUAAAUUACCUUAGGGAUAACAGCGUAAUUCUUUUAGAGAGUUCUUAUCAAUAAAAGGGAUUGCGACCUCGAUGUUGGAUUAAAGUUAAAUUCUGGUGCAGAAGCUAGGAUUUUAAGUCUGUUCGACUUUUAAAAUUUUACAUGAUCUGAGUUUAAACCGGCGUGAGCCAGGUUGGCUUCUAUCUUUUAUAGUUAAAAUAUUUUAGUACGAAAGGACCAGAUAUUUAAAUAAGAUUUUUUAUUAGAAUUAAAUUGUUAUUUUGGCAGAGUAGUGCAAUAGAUUUAGAAUCUUUAAAUGUAAUUAUAUUACAAAUAACAAUUUACUUUUUUGACUUAAUAUUAUUGUUUAUUUCUAUAUUAAUUUUGAUUUUGUGUGUGUUGGUGGGGGUGGCUUUUUUGACUUUACUUGAACGUAAGGUUUU